GACGAACGCUGGCGGCGUGCCUAAUACAUGCAAGUUGAGCGCGGACGGUUGGUACUUGUCCCCACUGGAUGAGCAGCGGACGGGUGAGUAACGCGUGGGGAAUCUGCCUUUGAGCGGGGGACAACAUUUGGAAACGAAUGCUAAUACCGCAUAAAACCUUUAAACACAAGUUUUAAGUUUGAAAGUUGCAAUUGCGUCACUCAAAGAUGAUCCCGCGUUGUAUUAGCUAGUUGGUGAGGUAAAGGCUCACCAAGGCGAGGAUACAUAGCACACCUGAGAGGGGGAUCGGCCAAAGUGGGACGGAGACACGGCCCAAAACACUAGGGGAGGGAGCAGUAGGGGAUCUUAGGGAAAGGAAGAAAGGCGGAACGAGCAACGACGCGCGAGAGAAGAAGGUUUUCGGGUCGUAAAACUCUGUUGGUAGAGAAGAAUGUUGGGGAGAGUUGAAAGCGAAGCAAGUGACGGUAACUACACAGAAAGGGACGGCUAACUACGUG
rnacentral:rRNA from 1 species